GCGGUGGAGCAUGUGGUUUAAUUCGAAGCAACGCGCAGAACCUUACCAGCGUUUGACAUGUCCGGACGAUUUCCAGAGAUGGAUCUCUUCCCUUCGGGGACUGGAACACAGGUGCUGCAUGGCUGUCGUCAGCUCGUGUCGUGAGAUGUUGGGUUAAGUCCCGCAACGAGCGCAACCCUCGACCUUAGUUGCCAUCAUUCAGUUGGGCACUUUAAGGUAACCGCCGGUGAUAAGCCGGAGGAAGGUGGGGAUGACGUCAAGUCCUCAUGGCCCUUACGCGCUGGGCUACACACGUGCUACAAUGGCGGUGACAGUGGGCAGCAAACUCGCGAGAGUGAGCUAAUCUCCAAAAGCCGUCUCAGUUCGGAUUGUUCUCUGCAACUCGAGAGCAUGAAGGCGGAAUCGCUAGUAAUCGCGGAUCAGCAUGCCGCGGUGAAUACGUUCCCAGGCCUUGUACACACCGCCCGUCACACCAUGGGAGUUGGGUUCACCCGAAGGCGUUGCGCUAACUCGUAAGAGGGGCAGGCGACCACGGUGGGCUUAGCGACUGGGGUGAAGUCGUAACAAGGUAGCCGUAGGGGAACCUGCGGCUGGAUCACCUCCUU
rnacentral:rRNA from 1 species